rnacentral:misc_RNA from 1 species
AACGCAUAUGGCACCUGCUAACUUUUGUUAGAAGGUAUGCCUGUUUGAGAAUCAUAUUAUAUUUAUUUCUCUUUGUGUUCCUUUGAUAUCAUUAAUUCAUUUUGAUGACUAAUCAUUAAGGCAACAAAUUGACACAAUUGGACUUUUAUCAUUAAUCGUCUUGAAUUCUGAAAUAUUAUGACUUGUUGAUAGAUAAAAUAGAGAAUGUAUUCUCAUUCAAUAUAUAUAUUUUGACAUGUCAAACAAUACCCCCAACACAAUGAUCUCAAAUCAGGCAAGGCUACCCGCUGAACUUAA